rnacentral:rRNA from 1 species
UAGGGAAUCUUCGGCAAUGGGGGGAACCCUGACCGAGCAACGCCGCGUGAGUGAAGAAGGUUUUCGGAUCGUAAAGCUCUGUUGUUAAGGAAGAACGAGUGUGAGAAUGGAAAGUUCAUACUGUGACGGUACUUAACCAGAAAGGGACGGCUAACUACGUUCCAGCAGCCGCGGUAAUACGUAGGUCUCGUGCGUUGUCCGGAUUUAUUGGGCGUAAAGCGAGCGCAGGCGGUUAGAUAAGUCUGAAGUUAAAGGCAGUGGCUCAACCAUUGUAGGCUUUAGAAACUGUUUAACUUGAGUGCAGAAGGGGAGAGUGGAAUUCCAUGUGUAGCGGUGAAAUGCGUAGAUAUAUGGAGGAACACCGGUGGCGAAAGCGGCUCUCUGAUCUGUAACUGACGCUGAAGCUCGAAAGCGUGGGGAGCGAACAGG